rnacentral:rRNA from 1 species
UUCGCCCUUAGAGUUUGAUCCUGGCUCAGGACGAACGCUGGCGGCGUGCUUAACACGUGCAAGUCGAACGGAGCACCCCUGAAGGAGUUUUCGGACAACGGAAGGGAAUGCCUAGUGGCGGACUGGUGAGUAACGCGUGAGGAACCUGCCUUUCGGAGGGGGACAACAGUUGGAAACGACUGCUAAUACCGCAUGACGUAUCGGGAUCGCAUGGUCUGGAUACCAAAGAUUUUAUCGCCGAAAGAUGGCCUCGCGUCUGAUUAGCUAGUUGGUGGGGUAACGGCCUACCAAGGCGACGAUCAGUAGCCGGACUGAGAGGUUGGCCGGCCACAUUGGGACUGAGAUACGGCCCAGACUCCUACGGGAGGCAGCAGUGGGGAAUAUUGGGCAAUGGACGCAAGUCUGACCCAGCAACGCCGCGUGAAGGAAGAAGGCUUUCGGGUUGUAAACUUCUUUUAAGGGGGAAGAGCAGAAGACGGUACCCCUUGAAUAAGCCACGGCUAACUACGUGCCAGCAGCCGCGGUAAUACGUAGGUGGCAAGCGUUGUCCGGAUUUACUGGGUGUAAAGGGCGUGCAGCCGGAGAGACAAGUCAGAUGUGAAAUCCACAGGCUCAACCUGUGAACUGCAUUUGAAACUGUUUCCCUUGAGUAUCGGAGAGGUCAUCGGAAUUCCUAGUGUAGCGGUGAAAUGCGUAGAUAUUAGGAAGAACACCAG